UGCGGCUUUUCUCAUUGGCGCCAACUUUCUCAGAAAGUUUGCGGUAACCUGUAGCCAAAAGUUACAAAAGCUAGUUGUCGACAACUUGUCGUCAAGUUGCUUGCAAACUAAUAAUAACCAAAAAUUUGACGAGCAACUUGUGCUAUCAGGGUGUGAGUUGCAAUUGUCACAAAAUUUAUUAUAAUAAUAAUAAUAAUAUAAUAAUUUAUUAUACUUUACUCGUCGUUGUAUUGAUGAUUUAUUGCAAAACCAUACUAACAAUUGAAGAUGCAAUAAAAAAAUUAGUAUUUAUACAAUAAAUAAAAUAUGAUUGUAGAAGAGGGUAAAGUUAACUAAGAGCUGAAGGCUGACGGCGAGGGCCAGCAUUAAGAUUUCAAGAAACCAACGAAUGUCAUUGCAGGGCCCGGAUUUCUGCCAUUGACGGAAGUUUUGUUUAUGGCAAGUCGAGAGGAGUAAUCGAGUAUAAGGAUACUAUAUAAGUGGUAUUCACUUUAUGAAGGAACAAAUGUGAGUGACGAUCCAUUAGCUGGGAAGCUUCAUCUGACGCACUUCGACGUUAUCAAAACACUGUCUUAAAACUUAUAUUCCAGUUUGUAUUAACCAGUAGUAGUGGAAAAUCUAUA